rnacentral:rRNA from 1 species
UUUGAUCCUGGCUCAGGAUGAACGCUGGCGGCGUGCCUAAUACAUGCAAGUCGAGCGAACGGACGAGAAGCUUGCUUCUCUGAUGUUAGCGGCGGACGGGUGAGUAACACGUGGAUAACCUACCUAUAAGACUGGGAUAACUUCGGGAAACCGGAGCUAAUACCGGAUAAUAUUUUGAACCGCAUGGUUCAAAAGUGAAAGACGGUCUUGCUGUCACUUAUAGAUGGAUCCGCGCUGCAUUAGCUAGUUGGUAAGGUAACGGCUUACCAAGGCAACGAUGCAUAGCCGACCUGAGAGGGUGAUCGGCCACACUGGAACUGAGACACGGUCCAGACUCCUACGGGAGGCAGCAGUAGGGAAUCUUCCGCAAUGGGCGAAAGCCUGACGGAGCAACGCCGCGUGAGUGAUGAAGGUCUUCGGAUCGUAAAACUCUGUUAUUAGGGAAGAACAUAUGUGUAAGUAACUGUGCACAUCUUGACGGUACCUAAUCAGAAAGCCACGGCUAACUACGUGCCAGCAGCCGCGGUAAUACGUAGGUGGCAAGCGUUAUCCGGAAUUAUUGGGCGUAAAGCGCGCGUAGGCGGUUUUUUAAGUCUGAUGUGAAAGCCCACGGCUCAACCGUGGAGGGUCAUUGGAAACUGGAAAACUUGAGUGCAGAAGAGGAAAGUGGAAUUCCAUGUGUAGCGGUGAAAUGCGCAGAGAUAUGGAGGAACACCAGUGGCGAAGGCGACUUUCUGGUCUGUAACUGACGCUGAUGUGCGAAAGCGUGGGGAUCAAACAGGAUUAGAUACCCUGGUAGUCCACGCCGUAAACGAUGAGUGCUAAGUGUUAGGGGGUUUCCGCCCCUUAGUGCUGCAGCUAACGCAUUAAGCACUCCGCCUGGGGAGUACGACCGCAAGGUUGAAACUCAAAGGAAUUGACGGGGACCCGCACAAGCGGUGGAGCAUGUGGUUUAAUUCGAAGCAACGCGAAGAACCUUACCAAAUCUUGACAUCCUUUGACAACUCUAGAGAUAGAGCCUUCCCCUUCGGGGGACAAAGUGACAGGUGGUGCAUGGUUGUCGUCAGCUCGUGUCGUGAGAUGUUGGGUUAAGUCCCGCAACGAGCGCAACCCUUAAGCUUAGUUGCCAUCAUUAAGUUGGGCACUCUAAGUUGACUGCCGGUGACAAACCGGAGGAAGGUGGGGAUGACGUCAAAUCAUCAUGCCCCUUAUGAUUUGGGCUACACACGUGCUACAAUGGACAAUACAAAGGGCAGCGAAACCGCGAGGUCAAGCA